GCCACUGCCAUUGCACAUUUCAUCCAAGUCAUGGUCAGCCCAAGCUGCAGUCUGGAAGCCAUUCUUGGGGGGAGGGGUGCAGGCCAGGUCAAGGCCAGUCACCGGUUUUCCAUGAGAUCGAUGAUUUAAGAAACUUAACAGAGCCUCAGGCAACAAAGGGAAGUUCCAAGGGCGGCUCAUUAUUAAUUAAAUGGUGUUUCCCCUGAAGGUGGGCAUCACAUCCCAUCAAUAUUUAAGCCAAGGAGACACACACUGCCCUGCAACCCACUGGUCAGCUGUGGGGUUUGCCAGGAAGCAAGAACGCCCUGCACGGAGGCCUUGCCCGUGUGACAGUGACAUGCUCCCGCCUCUGCCUUCAAUCAUUUAAUUCUCUUUCCCUUCAGCUCAAUUAGAGUUGCUAAGUCAUUCUUCAAGACCAUUUCUCCAUCACCUGCUUUGGUGAGAUGCAUUCGAGAAUGACCAUGGCUCAUUCAGCCUGCCCAUUUUACAACCCACAGAAUACAGACUGGAAGAAGGCUAUGCUCUGGGGUGCCCCACCGGGACCACGCUCAGCACCUCUGAGAACCACUGCGAAACUCUGUGGUGUUUUGGAGGCCACUCUUAAGAAAUUCCGGCACAGCUGACUCGCAACCAAUUGUGAUGUCUGUGUCCUAAACUGGCCCGGACAAAAGAAUCCUGAGGGGUUUCUCAAGUACACAGAAUCCCUGAGGGGCGGCCUGCGGUAAUUCAAGAAGCAGGAUAGAACCCUGUGGCCGACAUCUGGUUGCUCAGCAUCACUUCUGCAGCCCUGGCUGAAGGGAAACUUCCUUACAUGAAAUAUAUCCAAUCAGGGUUCUUUUUAUGAUUGUCACAAAUCCACCACCAACAUCCAGAAGCCAGAACUUUGGUCUGAUGAUUUCACCAAUUUAGUUAAAAAGUGUCCAGUGACGAAUCCUGAGCCGAGAGCUACUGCAAUGCAACUUUACAACCUCCUUUUAUCAAGAGUGUAAAACCAGUGUCAGUUUCAAGAGCCCUGAUGCAGAAACCAUGGAGAGCAAAUCUAACAGACAUGGACAAUGGCAGCAAGAAUCAGAAGAGGACCAAGCGAAUUCGGGUGGUCAUUAUCCCGAAAAGUUAAUUUUUUUCCCCUUGGGUCCUUUUUCUAUAACUUUGUUUUCUUUCUUCAAAUAUAUGAAUAGCACUUAGUGUUUUAUUACACAAGUGGGGUUUAUUUGUUCAUUAAAUCUCAAAAUAUA